rnacentral:rRNA from 1 species
UACGUAGGCAGCGAGCGUUGUUCGGAGUUACUGGGCGUAAAGGGUGUGUAGGCGGUUCUCUAAGUUUGGUGUGAAAUCUCCCGGCUCAACCGGGAGGGUGCGCCGAAAACUGGAGGGCUAGAGUGCGGGAAGGGAGAGUAGAAUUCCUGGUGUAGCGGUGAAAUGCGUAGAUAUCAGGAGGAAUACCGGUGGUGGUAGACGG